UCGAAACCUGCCCAGCAGAGCGACCAGCGAACAUGUUUAACUCUCUCGGGUGCAGGGGGAUGUGGGUAGCUUGCUCCUACUCCUCCGCGCUUGAGCCGGGGUGUAGGCCUCUUGUGGGCUUCCUCCUUGGCAUCUCAACGAACCCCGACGUGAAAAGCGUCAAGGAACAUAAACAACAUAUGAGCUUGCUCUUGCUGCCCGGUUAGCCGGUGCACGUAGGUGUAGGGCCAUGUCAUAACAUUA
rnacentral:rRNA from 1 species